UUCUUUGGAAAAUCUCUCAAAAUUUAUUAUGUGACUCGAUCGUAGAUUCAACUCGAGACAUUACAAAUUAAAACGCUCGAUACGUAUUACGGUUGGUAUUCGGAAAAUGGAAUUUGAUUGUGAAGAUAACUUUAAUUCUCCAUCAAUUGCUUAUUACGUUAAAUGUUGCAGACAUCUAUUCAAAGUGCUGAUGAUUAAGAGGGAAAUACCACAAUGUCAUCAUCAAAUUGAAAACGUGAAGAAUAUAAGGAGAAACAUCCCUGACAUAUAAACUUUUGAAGGGCAUUUAAUAUGUGUGAAAAUAUAAAUUAAAAAUCAAAAGUAAGAUUGAAACUUUUGUUUUAAAGCUCGUCAUAUUUGUAUUCAUAAUUUUGUAAUGACAA